rnacentral:rRNA from 1 species
GACGAACCGAGCGAACGUUGUUCGGAAUCACUGGGCUUAAAGGGCGCGUAGGCGGGUGCUCAAGUCUGUGGUGAAAUCCUCCGGCUCAACCGGAGAACUGCCAUGGAUACUGGGCGUCUCGAGUGUGGUAGGGGUAUGCGGAACUAUCGGUGGAGCGGUGAAAUGCGUUGAUAUCGAUAGGAACUCCGGUGGCGAAGGCGGCAUACUGGACCACCACUGACGCUGAUGCGCGAAAGCCAGGGGAGGCAAACGGG